rnacentral:lncRNA from 1 species
GAGUUUAGAGUUACGAGUGGAAUUCUUCUUAGGAGUUGUAUCCAGAAUAGGAGAUAGAGAAUCGGCUGGAGACAGAGAAUCAGAUAUAGAAGAUCAAGAUCCGUUUAUGAAUAAAGUACUGGUGCGCGGGCAGCUUUCCUUUGCUCGAGUGUGAAUUCUAUUCAAAAGAUGGAGUAGGGGAUAAAGUGCAAUUCAUUGGCCAAUAUGGGAGUCGCUUCUUAGGCACAUGAGGAAGCGGCCUAACAUCUUUGAAAUAGAAAUCCCAAUCAAAGACAAGUUCCACCUAUGGUCGUAGAUCAGCAGCUCAAUCCGCCGUUUCUUUCCCCUUUCUAUAAUAACUAUAGCUUCUUUCCCCUUUCUAUAAUAAGAGUAUAUAGAGUCAUAGUGAAAACCGAUACUGUCUAUAGAGUCAUAGUGAAAACCGAUACUUUGGGCUUUGGCCUAGCUUACUAAGCGCUAGUUCUAUCCCGGCCCGCUAGUUCCAUUUAGAUCUAAUAUGGAGCUUUGAGGUUCAGCACCUAGUUAAUCAAAAGCGAGUCUUCGUCACAACACAAAUGGAAUUGCAAAACUGAGGAGAGAUCUAGAAUAGAAAACAAACCAAGGCGCCCGUGCUUGCUCUAUGGUUAUUGUUUUAGCCUGGUAAUCACUGGUUCGGUGCGCCGAAAUCCCUACUAUUCUCAAUCUACCCUUAGGAGGGCAGGAAAGAGCUCGUGCGGAUAAGUUACGGCCGUCGCAGCCUUCGAUAAACGAAUUCCCAUCACUAAUACACAAGAAGAAUAAAGAAACCCAGAAGCGGAAACACUCUUGUUUACUCCGCAGCCGAGGGAGCUUCCUAAAGAGCACACCUGAGAUACGGAGGGAUGGUAUUAUUAUUAUGCAGCUAGAGCCAAGGCAGAAAGGCUUUAGUGGAGUCUCUUUCAGUUCGCGAGGAAAGGAUACUAUUGUUCCAGAUUCAAGUCUUGUUCCCCAGUCAUCAAGUACUAGAUCGGAAUAAACAGAAUCAUUUGCCUAGCCAGGCAUAGGGGCGGGGUUAACUCAUUGAAGUAACAAAAAGGACUACCUCUCCUCUGGCUCUUGAAACUAACCCACUCCAGUUCGUUUUCUACCGGAAUUCUUCUCCAAGCCAAAGGCAAAACAGGUAGUCAAUUCCAUUCCUCAGUAGUGAAGUUACUUGGCCGACUUUUCUGGAUUAUUUGCAUUUUGAGAAAAUUGAUUCAUCGUGUUUGAUAGCAAUUCCAGACUUCAAGUAGGGAGGUCGGGUCAUCUAACUCAAUUUCUUUGAUAUGCGAAUGAGGCUCUCUUCUCUUCUGGCCUCCAUCUCUUCUCUUCUUGCCUUUCAACUGAGCUUGUAGUUACUUGUCUAGUAGUUACUAGUCGGUGUUCAAGCAGGGGUCGGGGCAUCAUAAAGUACUUUUCUUCAGCUCACUUACGCAGAACUCCCUAACGCCCGAACAAAGGACUUUGUGUUGGUGUUAACUGGAGUUGCUUGUCUCUCCUGUUCGAUAGUUUUCUACCUGAAUUCUUUUCCUCUUUGUUAUACCAGCAUUCUGCUCCUCUGUUUUCUAGCUUUCCGUAGAUAUAUCUGUAUUGAGGUAAUGCCAGAGAACCCGACAGAAGACACACAAGCGUGGCGGAACCUUACUGAGCAGGAUGUUAAAGCUGAAGGCGCUGACUUAGAAGAGCUGAAUGCCGUGGUAUAUUAUGCAGCAUGGCCGGUACAAGCCUAUAUACAAGGGUUCAAUGUAUCCAACAAUAUUGCAUUAACAUACACGCAGAAGGAGACCUCCCAGCUGGAAGAGUGGAUCUCAUCUCAUCAGGGUGAGGGUGAUGAUAGUAUCUAAACUAUUGUAGAGAGGAAGGUCCCCCUUAAGAUUCAUGGAGGAACUGUCGCUGCUGCCGUUCAAACCAUAAGUCAAACCAGAAAAGGAUUGGUCUUACAGGAGAGGUGGGAAAAAGAGGAAGAUUGAGAAGCUACCUAAGUUUCCCUAUUUAUAGGUGAGUUCGUUACGCAUUGAAUAAAGACUGUAGGUAUGACAGAGCAACCGAAGCUUCUGUAGACCUAGCUCCCGAGGAAGCAGUAAGGAGUGAGUUCAAAAGGAGACUUAUUUGCGUCUAGGAAAGUUUCUAGGGUUGGUUUUAAGGAGCACAUGCUUAGAUCCUCCAUAUCCAUUGUAUUGUACCUAUGCGGAUAACAAGUAUAAUAUAGUCAACUAGUAUAUGAAGGGGUUUCCUUUCUAGGCUCAGUAGUAGUGAGAUUCUGAUAGUAGUCGUGGUGGCUAGCUUCUUUGCAUUUCGCUUAGGUCCUAUACUUAUGAGUUCAUUUCUUUUACUUACUAGCUGGGUUCUGUUACUUGUUAGUGAAAUCCAUUAGACCCUAGGCUUUCAGCACCUUGCUUGUUUGACUUUCAUCGUAUUAAGAUAAGAAGAUAAGCUCUUUUCAAAUGCCCACGUAGCGCUCAAGGGAAUCCAAAAGUCAAGGCAUAUCACCAUCAGUACGCUGUCGAAAAAAGAGAAAUCAGUAGGAUAUAUAGGAGCCUACCAGAAUUAGGAGAUUAUUGGUAGCCUAAGCUGCAGUGUCUAGCUUUCUCUUCCUAUGGUCAAGUUCGCUUUUGCUUCCUCUCUCUCCGCUUUGCCAGCAUCUUUCCAAUCCUUCCUUACUGGUAUAACUCUUAGACUUUCCAAUCCUUCCUUACUGGUAUAACUCUUAGACUCUACGCUGAUCCUCCCUAUAGAAGUUAUCAGACUGAGCCUCCCUAUAGAAGUCUUAGGACGAGAACAAGCAAGCAAUUAUUAGUAUCUAGUAUCUUAGGACGAGAACAAGCAAAGAGUAAUCAACGUCUUAGAUACAGCGCAAACAAGCUUAGGGUAGGUGGGCAGCUGAACAAGCAAGUGGUGGAGAACAAGCAAGUGGAGCUUUCUGUAAACUGGAGUUAGAGCCGUAGGAUAAGUUCCAUUGGAGAUUUGUAUCGAGCAUUACCCCCUGUAGAAAGAAUGGAAUCAAUAAGAGCAAGGACGAAACAGUGCCCUGUACAAAAGGACUUAAACUGAGAAGUCAGAAUAAGCUAAGCUACUGACCCUAACGAAUAGAACAGAACAGGUGCUUAUACUACGGUAUAGAACAGAACAGGGUGCUUCUACCACGUUAACUCGAUAUAGGGAAGCCAACUAUACUACCUAUAAGCAUGAAUCUGGGAACUCCUUCUUUAACACUGGGACAUAAACCCGGCUUUCCUGUCUUUUCUUCUUGUGAUCCCGCCCUUGAUUACUAUGUUAGAGUUCGGUCUUCUACUGUUUAUCCUCAUUCCUUAUUCCUAUUGGUGUACCUGCUCAUUGGUGUAUGAGUUUACUGCAUAAGGUAUCUCAUAAGGUAUAUUCUCAGAAUAUCAUAAGGUAUAUUCUCAUCAAAAUAAUCGUAGUAUAAGGAAGGAGCAAGGGUUAGCAAGUAAGACUAUAAGAAGGUAGUUCCAGACUGACUUUUAUAUGAUGGCUCAAUACAAGAAGAAAGCGUUGCUUGGGAGUAAGCAAGGGUUCAAGACGGUCGAGUCAUACUUGGAGUGAACCUUAGAGACACGAGUGGAAGAGUAGUAGUUAUAGGAGUUGGGGUUGGAGAAUGAGAAUAGAAGCGAGGGUGCCCCAGGUUCAUUCUGAUGCUUGGGACUAGUUUUGUGACUACUGGAGUGGCCCCUUCUUUUGCUACUUAGUUUGACUCUUUUUCUUAUGGCUCUUUUCCUUUUAGCAACCAAAGGAUCCACUUUGAAUCCCAGGGAGCAGUUUAAGACUUGAGUCAAAUAUUACAUAAUACAAAUAAGGGUAGUAAGCCCCCGAGAAGCACUAGUCGCAGCCUGAGGUACAGGGAUAGUUAGGCUGUUAGCGCUGGACAGGGGGACAGAUUUGAGAUCAGUAUUAGUGGACUGAAUUUCCGUAUGAGAUCAGUAGUCUGUUGACUUAAUGGUAGUAGCGACAUACUUAUAUAGAGGAGAUAUGUAUUGGGAUGAAGCAGUCCUGUCCUAGAAUCAAAGACAGGAAAGUAAGGGCAGCUUUAGCUGGCUGCUGGCUGGUAGUUCCACUCUUUCCGGUAGUAUUUCCAUUAUUAUUAUAUUCCUCCCCUCUGGGGUGUCAGUUUCCAAGCAAGUAGCGGUAGACUUUGUUUAUAAAGCGUUUCCCAGUCUCAUACGCCGGGUUUCUAUUCUCCUAGGGGCAAGAUCAAUUCUAUAUUCUUCUAUUUAUUCCAAUGGGCAUUCCUAUAGUUGUGAGUUCACAGUCACCAAGCUACUACAGUUUAAGAGCCAACUACUCGUUUACUAGUUGGGGCCAAAAGCAGGUUAACUCUUUACUACUCUACUACUAGUUCUAUUACUAUAUGCGGGCAAAGUCACUACUAGCUUAACUUAAAUGUGAACAAACCCUCCAGAGCGAGUCCUUCCUUCUCCUUCAUCGGCUAAUGCGAGUUCUUUAGCUAACGGAGCUUAACGUUACUUGCUUAACUCUACAGAAGCGCCCGAGCGGAGCAGCUAUUCCUUUCUGCUUGCAGGCUUUGGCGUUCACUAAUGAAGAAACACCUCUGGAACUAAUUAAUAAACUCUCUCUCUUUAGACUCUCUCUCUUGCCUUGCCUUUGAUUAUUGCCUUCUUUCUUUCUUCCUUCUCUUCUUCAUCGGUAAGUAAAUCAGUGUCAUCCAUCGUAUCUAGAAUCUGGAAUGCUUAGCGACGCCCACUAUGCGGUAUACAACUUAUUAGGCAAACAAAGAGUGUGAUAAAGAAGAAAGGGCAAAAGCUACGGACUCAAUGGAGCUCCUGCCAGAACAACUUCCGCUGUUGAACAAACACAGCACAGCAUUGCUUCAUAAUAUCUAAUAUGGGCAGGGCAGCCUCCCCCUAGCUUAAAGUAUAGAAUUCUGUCCCUUGUGCUUUCAAAAGUCCUAUAUUAUUGCACCCUUGCUGUCAAGUUACAGAAUUGGAGCCCUAGCUUUCAAGUAGCUUUUCAAGUACAUAAUUAUUGUCCUAGCUAGCUUAUUGUGAAGAGAGUUUACAGUUCCAUUGCUUUCAGGUAAAGGUUCGGCAUUGCUUGUUGAGAAAGCUUUUUUCAUCGAGUUUUGUUUGAGUAUGGUAUGGGUGUUUUAGAAGGCAAAGGCAGUAAGUAAAGGAGAGUUCGAGUUCAAGUUGCAAGAGCAGAGCAGGAUAUGAGGCUUGAUCAGGAGAAUCCGUUGGAGAGUUAGGAUCUUGAGUAGGAACAGAAGCGGAAUGCCCAGAUGAAGCGCGGUGCGGGUUCUUCACAGAAAGUCUUGUUCGGGUGUUUAAGAAUCAUCGGGCUUUGAAACAGAAGCUGUAGACUCAGGAGCAGUUACUAGAGGAAAUGAUGUUUCAGUUCUAAAGUAAAGGUUCGGGUAAGUAAAGUACUCAUACCUCUAUUACGGGUAUAAAGUCAAAGUGCUAAAGUCAGGAUCAACAGAAUAAUAAGUGUUCGGGUAUUCUUCUAUAGCGCAUCUUUCGAAUUCAUAUUAGUCUAAUUAAGAAUUCAAUAAGGUAUUCCAAUGGCGCAUGGUUUGUUACCCAUAUCUAUCAUACCUGGAAAAUGAUUCUUCUGGCCGACUACUACUCUGGAAAGGCCCUUACCCGGGCGAGCAACUACGAAAGAAACAAAGAGAAUAAUAAUUAGUUGCAUCUUAAAUCCUAUCUCUCCAGCCUUUGACUGUUCCCCUCCGCCCUUGCUUUUCAUACACCUUACUACCUCCGUCCUUGCUUUGGUUCUGACUUUUCUUAUUCUUAUUCUAGUACUACUCACUUUGAUUCUUGAACUAUGGAUUCGGAUCCUAUGCUCGACUAUGGAGUAUGUGACCCCUGCCUCAAAGUCUUCCUUUUGAUCGCCGCCAAUAACUAGCUCACUCUUAAACUAAUGCUAACAGGGCUAUGGCUCACAACUAGGGAAUUGAGUUACUCCCGACAAUACUUUCCUGUAGUACACUUAAGCAUACCUGUACUGAUGAGAAGCCAACUACUACUAAUAAGGAUCAAUAUGGGAACUCAGACUUACUCGUUAGCCCACCGCUCCUAUCUGGAAUUCUGAAGUUACUAGCUGGUUCUUUCAACCCCAACAAAACAAUACUAAAGACUAUUGCACGUUACAAAGAAGAGUUUGUAUUCAACUGCUUUCUUGUAUUCCCGAUUCCGAUCUGGUGUAUUGAGUUUAAGCCCUCCAUGCCCUAUUUAGAAUCUCUUAUGCGCCUUAACAUUCCUAAAUUCCAGUGAAAGCCUUAUUCCUAAAUUCCAGUGAAAGCCUUAUUAUUGCCAUUAUUGCGGAUUAUCGGUAUUCUUAUUAGUAUGCUUUGUCCGGUAUCCUUGCCAAAGAGUUCAUCGACGCCCCUACUGGUUGAUUCAUAUUCUAGCUAACUAGGAAUUGAGCACUGCCCACCUACCCUAGAUUGAGCCACUGUUCUUAUAGACUCGAACUCAGAACUAGGUGCUGAAAGCCUACUGACAACAAGGAGCGAACGUGCCCUAGUAGACUAAACAAAAAACGGGAAUCCAAUCCUGCUAACAAGCCUGCUGCUACUGAACUUCAAGCUGCUCUUCCUUACAUCUAAAUCUGACUUUUGACUUGAUUUCAAUCUCAAACUAGUGCUUCUCAUAAUAAGAGGAGCUACCGGCGACACGGCUUUCACUUCUCUGCUAUAAAUGGCACUUCCCCUAAAGCCUAUUAGGCUGCUCUUCCUUACUUAUAUUCUUCAACUGAUUGGAGCCAAGCCUUACUUUACUGCAUAUCAGACUUAUACUGAUGUCCUCAAUGCCUAGCUCAAAGCAACCUCUACCGUCUGGCACUCUUCAACUACUAAAAGGGAAUGUCACUGUCAACUAGAAAACUUAUAUCACCAAUAAAAAGAGUAGUUGCUUGGCCUGUAACUCCCUCGGUUCAUCCUGGUUAGCACUAGUUGAAGUCUUAGUCCUAUCAGUAGUAUUGGUCAAGGCUUCUAACUAACCAGUUCCAUUCCUUGCCCUAGUGGUUUGAUUCUUGCACUUACUAGCUCCAUCCUAUGUCUUACGGAUUUGAUUCUGAGUUAAGUAAGUAGUAGAGGGAAGGUGGGAAUUCACACUUCCUACCCUUUGGCUGAGUCUACUACCGACCAGUUGCACUCUUCUAGUUACUGGUGGAAGUCUUAAGUAGAUAUAUCAGAAGCACUAGCACUGGGUUAAGCCUUAGCUGUAGUGGUUAGAGAACUUAGCUACCUAGCUAGAGGAUGAGUAGACACCGCUUCAGUCUGAUAAUACCUAGCAGCAAGUGAGUGAAGCCUGUAACUCGGACCGGAUAGCCUGUAACACCAUAGCGGAAGUCUGGUCGGUACCGAUUUCAGUCUGAGUGACACUAUCUCCAUUCUUUGAUUUAGCGGUUUGAGGCACCAAGCAACUACUAAUGUUGCGCGUUAGCAAGUCCGGGACUGCUUAGCUUCAUUCUGAGGCAUAUGGGUUUGGUUCUGUAAUUGGUUAGCUCCAUUCUUGCCCUUGGGUCGGAUAGCCUAUCACUCCUUUCUGUGGGCCUACCCUAGCUCCACUCUGUCACUCCUUAGCUCCAUUCUGAGCCUACCCGGUCGAAGUCCGAGCAGCGGUGGUUCUAGACCAUGUAGCAGAGCACCAGUCCCGUUAGCAGUGAGUUAAGCCUGUAACUCGGGUCGUAUAGCCUGUUGGUUGGGGUGGGGACACAUUCUGAGUGGUACCGGGUGAAGUCUUGAUGGUAGUGCUAUCAGGCUUGGACUUACUGCUUUGAUUCUUGUUUCCUUAAUAAAGAUAGAUCAAAUUAUCUACUCGCCAAGUAACUCCUAAUGUGUAGCGGCAGUGAGCUACCCCCUACUAUGUGUAUACUGAUUGGGUACUUGAAAAUGUCUUCCACUUUUCUGCUUUAUUUGUUCUUUCUUAUCAAAUUAUUCACGCCUCUGGGCAAGAGGGCAGGGCCACUAGUCAAUCACAUGGCAAGCAUCUUUUCUCUCUUUACUAGGGAUUACACUCGGGAAGCUAAGGUAUUCAACUCACACUCACUCACAACUAGGAGCCAGGCAACUACUGUUCUAAGAGCUAACUACUCGUAUACUAGGAGCUACAGCACCAAACAACACUUCUUUUUUAAGAAACCCGGGUAUUUUCAUAGCACUCAGAUUUUCCCUCCUGAGCCGGUCCAAAGGCAUGCUCUUUUUUAAGAAACCCGGGAUUUUGGGCAGCAACCAUGGGUUCCCUCCUGAGCCGAUCAAUUACUCUUCUUUUUUCACGUUUUCCCGGGAAACAGCGCUGGCGCGUAACAUUAGUAGUUACUUGCCUGAUAGCAAAGAUCUUUUCCUUCCUGGAGCACCUAUUGGGAAUUCGAUUUGUGCGUUUUCCCGUGAAACAGCGCUGGCGCGUAACAUUAGUAGUUACUUGCCUGAUAGCAAUAUGUAUAAAGUGGUUGACUCGACCUCUGCUCAGGCUACUCAUACUGAUUCCACUGGACCAGACACCUCUACUUGUAAACUUCAGACUAAACAAGGGAGUCAGCAGCCAAUCUCUAUCCUCUGGACUAGCUUGCCCACCUCCUAAACUGGUUCUCUUGCCUCUCUAUCCUCUGGCUACUCGGUCUGAAACUCUUCCUCUCACUGGCACCUGGCACUUGACCUGGACCUGACAUGACUUAACGCUGAAGUAAACUAAUCAUUCCACUCAUAGGGCAUCAAAGCCUUUACUUUCUUAUUACCUUAACUGGCUUCCUGUCUUUCUCUUUUCCUUGGUCGCUACUUGGCCCACCUCUCUUAUCUUGCCAACUAAACCUAUCUAGUUGUUGGAGACGAGUAUCUUUCUUUUCUGGUUGAAUCCCCAACAAGCAAUGGGAGAGAGGCGACCCUAGUCUUAUACACUUACUUAUACAAAGGCAAAGAGCCAAGCAACGAGACAAGGCCUACCGGUCUGAAACUCAUCAAUAAAACCCGGGUUCGGGCACAGGACUACUAACUACUGGUUGGGUCAAUCACUCCACUUUCAGAAUCGAUCUCACAAUUAAGUACUACUUUCCACUCUUAACUUCAAGCCUCCACCUCUGACCUAUGGCUACUCCACCUAUGUCAACUGUCAACUACUACUGAUUCUUAAGCCCCUCUUGCUAAAAAUACUUGAUUCAAUCUUUCUUGUUUAGCGCCCGUUUUCAUUGAGAGAUAGAGUACUGGGUUGGAUAGUUACCCAUAUUAUCCAUUAUACACCUGCGGCUAAUUCCUCUGUUUCUGACUUUUCAACUAGAGAAACUUGACUUCUGUCGAUCCCAGGUUGUCGGGUCUAAAGUAUCUGUUAGAUUCCAUUCCAGUUGUUGAAGAGGUCAGGGGUUGAUGAACAAUAAGUGACUUUCGUUUUUAGUUGAAAGCACAUAGAGGUUGGCGAGGGAGAGGUCCAUUCCUGCAUUGGCUCGGUCGGUGUUUGCCCGUCAGGCCAAGGUGUUAGUAGCUGUUAGGGAGUCUAGAAUGACUAGAAUUACUAGAAUUACCUGGAAAGCUAUAGUAGUAGGUGUUGUUGCUCUGUCCGUUAUGAAAGUUUAGUUGAAAGUAGUACGUACUUACGCGGUGUUGGCGGUAAACUCCCUUCCCUGACUUUCUUUGCCUUUGUAGUAGUAGCUUUCAUGGCUGCCAGGUAUCAAACAAAAGUCAUUGCUCCCCUACGCCUGCCUUUAAGAAUUGAGUUAAGGAAACUACAACUAAUGGGGAAAGAAUGAAUUACUACCCUGAUUUACAGCAAUCGCGCAUUCCCCUAUCUAAAGGAGGUAAGGUAUGGGAAGAAACAGGCCAAGCAACUAGACAAGUAACUGCACAAGUGGUAUAUUUGAAGUAGUUUUAUUACCAGUGUUUUAUCCGGUGCGGUAGGAGUUUUGUUCUAGCGUUAGCAAGCUCAAUUAAGUAUAUAGUACGAGUCAUAAGUCAGUCCUGCUCGUUGGGUUCUGCAAGUGAAGGCGAGGGAGGAAAGUGACCUUCAAUCAGAGGCGUCAGUAAGCACUAACUAAAGGAAAAACUGCUGUGCUUGUUUCAUUCAGUAGGCAUAGUGGUCUGGUCCAUACUAUAACAGUGGGCGUAGUGGUCCAAGUGGAGUUGGGGCAAUAAGAAUCAUUCCAUUAGAAGCAUAGCCCGCAGUAACCUUUGAUUGCACUUCUUCUCUUGUUCCUGUAGUUUGAUACACCUUCUCUGUAGUAUCGGUGGUUGGCGAACACAGGACUUGGCACCAGUGGAUCUUAAGUACACAAAGAAUUCUACUACUACUGGGGGCUAGUUGAAAUAAGAAUAGUUAUUCAAUAAUAAUAGUAAUAGGAAUAGAUCUAGCUGGUACGAGGGAUAGGCUAGUUUACUUACUUGCUAGUUAGGGUAGGGUAGUCAAAAGAGAGUACUGACUAGUUUUCUUCCAAUACAAGGGAGUAGUUGCCCUAGAUUGAAGUUGGGGCUGUUUCAUCUGUAUUUGUUAGUUGACAGAGUCGAGGUCGGGUACAUAGAUGAUAGGCUGUUCGCGAGGUCAGUUAUUCUUAUGAGUUGCCUUGGAGCUAAGGAGUCAAAGAAAUACUGAUACUUGCCUUAUACUAGAUGCGUAAGAGCGGAAGAAAGAUCUGACUUAGUUUCAUAUCCCUUGUUUAGUCUGAAGUUGACAAGUAUUGUAGUAGUCCUUUUGAAUCAGUAUUUGUUUACAGAGGAGAGGCGAGGGAAGCUAUGAAAAGCCAGAGCAGUAGCUUGGCCCCUUGCUUUAAGAGUCAUUUAGCGUGGAUAGUUCUAUUAAUUCCAUUCUCAAGGUUAACUCCACUUGAAACUUAUAUGAUAUCGGCAACUACAGUUGUUAACUCUCUAACGCUUCUAAACUCCGUGCACAAGUAAAACAAAGGAUUAAUAGAAUAUUUCGCGAUCAACAACUCCCUGCUCAUUAGCGAACUCAACUGUCUUCAGCUUCAAACUUGCUAACCUCCACUCACUUAAGAACGCCGACGACUUACCAGUACUAGAUUGGCGCACCCACUUGUUUACCUUUUGAUUUGCUUGUUUAUUGUUCUUAAUUCGGCUUAUUAUUCGUUACUCAUCCCAUCACUUGCUUUUUACUUGUUCACUUGUAAGAAAAGAGGAUUUAUUGUGAACCCUAUACUUGGGUACUUGACUUCUUGCCUUGCUUGUUCGGUUUGUCGACUCUAAAUCUGGUAUUGGCACAGGAUCAUCAGCGUAGGUCCACAGAUGUAGCAUUAAAGUCAACCGAUGGAGCAGAGAGAGCUCAACGAGAUCUACAGCUUGAGAAGAAUCAAACGAAAACUUAGAUGCGGGGUGAAGGCGCUCCGAUCCCUGGGUUUCUGGCUCUAGUACUAUUGCUUGCCCCUGCUUGUGUCAUCCCGGUAGCUCAGGUUAGGGUGGAAAGGGAGUAGUUCCAGUGAAGAAAGUAUGGUGAGAAGAGGUCGGCUUGGUAAGCUAUUCAAAUGUAGUUGAGAGUAGCUAGUUGUCUGCUCAUAACUCUAGAAAACAGCCCAGUUUCCCCGGUAGUCCUGUUCGAGUAAGUAUAAGACUCAGAAUGAAACCAGUAAGUAAAAGAAUGAACUAGUCAGUAGAAGAAUGGAACGAGUCAACUGAUUGCCCGAUGCUAUAGUAGUGACUUGCCCAGUAGCUUGGCCCCCGAAGCCCAAUACUCGGCUAGUAAGCCUUAAGUGUUGAGUAAGUGAGUAGUAAGUCAGUAGUUAUUAGUAAGUCAGUAGUAAGUGAGUAGUAUAAAUACAGAUUCCCCGAAGAAGGAAGCCCAGAAGAAGAAGUAAGCCCAGAAGAAGGGAGUAAUCCGUCAACUUAUGAGUAAGCCCGAAGGAAGUUACUAGUUAUGAAGCCCUUAAGUUAAUGUAGUCGUUAUGAAUUCUUUGACUUAGGAGUUGGAUUCCCAUUAUCGGUUAGUUAAGCCCGAGUAGUUCCCAGUUCCGUAUUAAAAGCACUAGUGUAUUUCUUUCUCUUAAAAGCACUAGUGUAUUUCUUUCUCUUAAUGGAAAGUAUUCGAGUUUUGGGAUGCUAUAGAAUGAGAUAGAGCAAUCGAAUAAUCCAAAAGUGCUAUAGAAUGAGAUAGAGCAAUCGAAUAAUCAAAGUAAGUAGGCUCCAGAAUAGAAGUCACAAGUGGGAGGGCUUGGUGGUUUGUGGAGUCAGUCUUCUAAUGGGAGGGCUUGGUGGUUUGUGGAGUCAGUCUUCUAAGUAUAAGGUUGAUUCUCAUAGUAGGUAGUUGCUUGGUGGCUACUAGUUUAGAUACAUACUUUAGGGCGGUAGGGUAAGGCCGAAGCUUCAAGUCAAGAAUAAGAUACAGGGUCGUAAGCCAGUUAGUUGGCCUUAUUGCAGGGCAUACCGAUCGGCAGGUUCAUAAUAAUUGCUUUUUUCGUGUUGGGGAUGUAGAAUCAAAUCAAGGGGAGGUAGUUUGAUAAGCACCAAGGGUUCGGAUCCUAAUUAAGUAUUCCUAGAUUGCCGAGUCACUAAAGAAUACAAAGUGGGCAAUGCGGACUUAAAGCAAGUAGCAAGCAGACUUAUAGCUAAGAGGGGCAGACUAAGAAGCUAGAGUUACAGAAUCAAACAAGGGAGUGAAGGACUGUCCCGCUCACUUACGUUAAAAACUUUACUUGCAGAGGACGGGACAGGAGUUUUCCAAUUCUGAGUUUACUCGGCUAAUGGAAAGGGAGUUUACUAUGACAAAUCUUACGCAUCGGUAUUGGUGAAAGGAUCCGAAUGAUACAAGUAAAUAAAGGAAGAAAACGAAGUUCUGGACUACUUACUCUACUGUAAGCCAAACACUACUUAGGAAAGAAAGUCAACUGGUCCCCUUAAGUAAUUGGCAUGAGAGGUAGCAGGUAAGAGAGGGGUUUUCAUUCCUAUGUUAGAGAACAUGCCCUUAAGUUCCAUUUGUUAGAGAGCAUGCCCUUAAGUUCCAUUAUGAAUUCAGGUAAGGUUUCCUUGGCGCAAGAAAGAUGACUGUUUUCUCGGCGUGUAAGGAGAAAGUUGGCAAUGCUCUUCAAUUCCUAAUAAUAUAGAAAAUCCGUUCAAGUUCCAUUCAUCUUUUAGAACAUCCGUGUUGUGUUAAGGUUCAAUUCAUCUUGCCCUCGGCGCUUACUGAGUGGAAUUAAGCAACGCGAGGAGUUUCAAUUACAACCCUUAUAUAGGCAUCCAUUAUGAAAUUUACCUUAUAUAGAUCCGUUAAUAAAUUCUGAAUGGAGGUUAGCGUGUUCAAUCCCUAUCUUAUAUAUAGCAUGCAGUGAAAGUGAAAUCCAAAUCUUUGAGUUUACUCGCCGUUACGCUAAUGCUUAUACAGUUUGGGGUGCAAAGGCGAGCUCACCGUUCAAUUGAUCUGCACUAACAGGAUGAAAUGAUGAGUUUAGAGACCGUAUAAUGUUGAGGCUAUAUUGGGCGAGACCUACUAUACUAGCAAGAAAUACUAUCUACUCUACCUCAGCAAUAGAGAUGAGCAUUCAAUUAUAUAUUUCUAUAGGAUGAAAGUAAAACCUCACAUCGAUUCAUUCUUCUUGAUAAAGGAUAUAGGAGAAAACACUCAAACAGAAGGGCCAAGUUCACGCCGAAAGACUCAAACUUCACUCGUUCAUAGCGUUAGUUAGCUUUGGUAUAGAAAAGAGUUACCUAAUCGCUUCUGAUCCAUAAGAUUAUCCUACUCUUACUGAAGACCCAUAUAUUGCUGCUGAAGUUAGGAUCUGUAUCCCGAUCUUCACUCUACUAACAGCAUCCCUUUUCUCUGUCAGUUCAAUUCCAUUCAAAAGGGUAACUCCACUUGAAAGGUCUUGGGUAACUGAAUCAGCUGGAGAAGAAUCCAGAUUAUCAGCUAGAGAAUAUAAGGGAUCAGACUCUGUGGCUAAGGUUUCAGAAUUAUUUGUUGAAACCUCGACGAAAACUGUCCUUAGUACUUGUUGAAUGAAAUGUAGGUCUCAUCUCUUAUAGAUGUUGUUUGUAACAAUACCUAUUGUCUAAGCCUUAUAUACGUGGUAAACUUAUUGUCCCGAAGAAGCAGUGAGAGUUGAAUACCAAACAAACUAGUAUACGAGUAGUUUCAUCCCAAGUUUGAUUCUUAAAUGACUUUUUCCUAGUUUAGAGUUCCAUUCAGUAAUUCCUACUUUGUGGACUACUUAGUUCCAUUCCGAGUCUACUACUAGAUGCUUGUCUUUCCACUCAAGUACUGUAGCUUGGUCAUUAGUCGUUACUUGCUGGGGGAACGAGUCCUGUGUUUGGGGUCUGUACAAGUUAUUACCAAGUCCUGUUUUUGGGAGCCUGUUGCAGUGCGCAAGUAAGCUUAUUCAUUGCCUGACCUUACUAUUAAUUGGAAAGUCAACUAUACUGCCGAUGCUGCCCAACAAAGAUAAGCGAGACCAGACCAGGCUUCCUCUCUUUCAACAGCGGCUUCUCUUUCUUAUGAGUCUUCUCCUUUCGAUAUAUACUUUCCAUUAGAGUACCUGUAAGUUCUAACUUCGUAUUACUUGAUAACUUCCUUCUAUCUACUUAAGAUAAGACUUCCGUCUAUCUACUUAAGAUAAGCUUGAUAACUUCCUUCUAUCUACUUAAGAUAAGAAAGGAGUGGCAGGCACAUCAACCAUUUCAUUUGAGUGUCCUGUGUUUGGGGGAAACCUCAUUUUAAGGGAAAUCCUUUACUCUGUCUCUUGACCCCAGCGCAGAUCAAUUGAACUUUCACUAUCACCAAAACAGGGGUUCAGCCUCUACUUUCCGCCUCUACUUGAUUGAUUUCUGUCCUUACCGCUUUCAACUCUCAAUCCGGUCUUAAACAAAUAGUCAUGGUUCUUCCCCUUUGUCAACUUCUUCAGAAGCAGUUUCAAGAUCAGACUUAGUUGACAGAGCCAGAAGAUAGGUAUAGUAGAGGGCAAGUAGUAAGUACGAAUUCCGGUAUAUGAGAUGCUCUAGUCCAGAGGAUAGAGAGGCAAGGGAACCAGUGGAAUCAGUAUUAUCAGCAAGCGGGGUAGUAUAUAAGUCUCCAGUUUACAAGUAGUUGUCCAAGUCAUCUAUGCGAGGCUUUGAAGCGGUAAGUCUGUCAUCUCAACAAAGAAUCAAUUCCCUCUAAAGCGCUAACAGGAACAAGAGGAGAGUAAGUGCCAGUUGCAUCAUCUAUAAGAUCAUCUGUUCGCCUAGUUCGAAUGUUAUUAUCUAUUAUUAUUAUCAAAUAUCAAAUCUAUUAUUAUUAAGAUGUUACCACAGUAUUGUCUCUAACUAGACCCUUAUUGGCUUUGGACAUCAACCUUGUUAUUGUUUUCUUGCGCCUACCCGUGCUUUCUAUCCGGAUUUUGACCUUUGCUACAUCGUUUUCUUGCUUGUCCGUUUCAUUAUUCCCUUCUUUAGCUGUUGUCUUAGAUGACUAACUAGAAGACUUAUCUUAGUGAGUAGUAGUCGUAGUGGUCCGAAUGCCUAUACUUAUCAACUCAAUGCCUAUGGCGAGGUUAAUUCAGUUACUAUUGAGAUAAAUGCCGUAUAUACCUUUGAACUCUGUUACUACUGCCUUAAAGUCCUUGCUUAUUGGUUAAAGAAACCAACUAAGGAUUUGAAGGAUAUAACUACUGAUCCGGUUGCUUUACUUACUACGGGUCUGAUACCCCGUUAACUAAAUCUGAUUCCUCUGGCAACUGGCAACAAUGCAUUUCAACCUGUGUUUCUCUUAUAAUUAAUUGAACCCCGUCUUUCUCUGUCAACUAAGUAUGGGCCUUAUCCCGCUUCGUCCCUUUCUUUUGAAGAAGACUUACUUUACUGUCUUGGCUUCUCUACUUAUAUAGAUAUUAUUAUUCUCAAAUAGCCCGGUCAACCCUACCACUUACUGCGCGCAAAAAGAACAUUACUUCACGCACAUUCCCUUAAGGUUUAUAAGCCAGUACUUUAUUCCCUUAACCCUGCCCCUAGUCGCUUGGUGGAUUGAUUUCUUUCUUUCCCGCUGAAGAAGGCAUUGAUUCUGCCCCGGCCUGGCCUAUACAUCUGCCCUAUUAUUAAGUACGCAGCUUCCAAAGAUUCUGAUCUUGUGGACCUAACUUGAACUUUGGAUUCUCUCUCUCCUCUGCCUCUGUCCUUUAGUGCAAUGUAUAGUAUAGGCUUUAGUGCUAGGAUAGGGUUAGCAAAGGAAGGAAGCAAGGCAAGGCGCGUUGCUUUUUGAGUAUACGCUUGGCCUUUAUUUCUUUGGUAGUAGCACACUUUCUUCGACUAUGGGCUCAACCUCCUCUUUUGUUUCAUAUUAAGAGUCCGAAGAGAAUUCCACCCUAUGUAAGUAAGCCUAAGUUACAAACUUUCAAUAUAAAGACGGGUUCAAGUCCAUUAACCGAGCGAGCACAAAGCAAAAACUAGGGGAGAGCAAUCAAUACAGUAAAGUCGGGCCUAUCAAAUAGAAAAGCAGGAGAAGGGAGGAACUGAAACUUCAACUCAAAGCAGUGAUCUGGUACUGGGCUGGUGAGAAUGAUACUACGCCUAUGGAAUGAAUGAAAAGGAAAGAAAAUGGAGAGAUAGAAAGAAAAGAACCUGCUAAAGGAUCUACAUAGGCCCCCGCACUUCUUUCAAAUACUAAAGCUUGAUCAGUCGCUCUAACCUUUGGAAAGCGCUUAGCAUUAGAACUUGUUAGCUAUUGAACUUUAAUAAUAAGAAAUUAGAUAUAUAGAAGUCAGUCUAAGUAAAGUCAAUAUAAGUCAAGUAAGUAGUAUCAAAAGAAAUGGUGUAUAAAGCAAAUAUAAGUCAAGUAAGUCAGUAUCAAAAGAAAUGAUGUAUAAAGCAAAUAGCCUGAAAGAUAUCGAUAAUCAAUUCUUUCUAUGACUUAGGGAUAAUACAUAAUACAUAGGAGUAUAAGUAUACACCUGUAGGAAGAGAAGUCGAAUGGCUUUGACUAUAUAUAAAGUGUUAGAUCGGUAGCCCCUUACCCGUACUCCAUUCCUCUAUAAAUUCAGGGGCCGGCAGAAGCAAAAAAGCUAAUAACCGUAUAGGCUUCUUUCUAUUUGAUUUGCUAACCCCGGACAUAACAUAUAAGUACCACACGAUUGAGAUCCAUCUAUACGCCCAUCGUAGUACCGAGGCCCUUCACGGUAGCGCUUCACCUAUAGUCUGGAAUCAAUAACAUGGUUGUACUGUGAAAUCAAUCAAAAUAGUCUGAUUUCUACCGAUCCAAAAGUAAUGAAAAGGAUAUUCAAAGAACAUUGACGCUGCAGAGUGAAGAAAUGCUAUAGUCUGGGUAUCUAAAGAACCGAUCUGCUUCUUCUGUUGACGAAGGGUAGUUUCACUUCACCCCGAUUAUCUUAAUCAAAUAGU